AGUGUGGAAUGAAGCAUGCAUUGAAGACCGCGUGCUGCCACGCAAUAAAAACGUGAUUUCAUCUUUGGAAUUGGAUUCCUGAUUUUGAUUGAAGAAAGCACAGGAAGAAAGUGAUUCAUAGACACACUAUAUAAAGGUCAAACCAGAAAAUAAAAUAAAGUAAAGCAGGCCCGAGACGACGCCAAACGAAGUGCUUGGCGUUUUGAUUCCCACUCAUUGCCUUGGUUUUUGGGCAUGAAGUGCAAGUAACUUGGAUGCACUCAUGCGCAGGGAGGGCCCCGAGAAUGAAAAUGGGGAAUAGAAAUGGGAAUGGUGGCAACUUUGAAUGAACCCAGCGCUUUAUGAUCAUGAUCACGGCCUCCGUCCAUCAUUUUACUGCGGCUUACCGGCGCCAGGACGCCCUGAUAGGUCUCCUACGCUUGCCGCGCAUGACCCGCUGGGCGCGCAGAGGAGGAGGCAGGUCGUUCCAGCACCGGGACGACGCAAAUCUGAAUGAUCCGCGAAAAGCUGCUGUGCGAUGUUUGGGUGUAGCAAAUAUGUGAGUGCAUAGCCUCUUUGGAUAUCUACUCUGAGCUU